UAUUAAUAUGAACAAAAGUAUUGUCAAUGUUAGGCCUCAAACUUCCAGAAGCUUCAAAGAGCAAGUUUUGUAGAAUUAAACUGGAACUUGUGGUCAGGAUGAGCUGCAACCAGAUAACACUUUAGGCUAACUCAUAUGUAUUGAGAUAAUCUAUGCACCUGGGCAUAGCUUACUCGAUACAUAUUGACCACAGUUGAGAUAAUUGGCUACAUGGAGAUAAGCUAUGCACCCGCGCAUAGCUUAUAAUAUUAAAGUAAUCACACUAAGAAUUUGGCCCACCCUGAUUGGUUGGUCUGUUUUAAAACAUGGCUGACAGAUAAGAUAAAAAGUAUGAAGGCACAGGACUGUGUGUGUGUGUGUGUGUGUGUGUGUGUGUGUGUGUGUGUGUGUGUGUGUGUGUGUGUGUGUGUGUUUCCGUCAUAAGGCAAACCUAACCCACACCCCCUGAACCGAAGAGACAUGCACUUCUCGACUGUCUGUACCUGGCCAGUGUGGAAGACGACCGACUGAAGGGCAACAUAUUUUCGGACGAAUGCAGGCCAUUGUGAGAUGCUGCCUAGUUUGGAAAAUGCGGGAUAAAGACAACUUUUGGGAAGCUGAUUAAGCUGUUUACUUAAACCUCUCCACAUUUCCCAGACUGUUUUCCAGAGCUACAGAUCAUUCCGUUUCUGAGAUGCUGCAUUUCUCACCUGCUGAUUGCAAUUAGCAACUGCCAGCUGGGACCUGGUGUGCUGCUGAAGAGCUAACAAGAAGUGGAGAACAGCAUGAGGCCUAGACAAGCACUGCACAAUGGGGCCCUGAUCCUUGAUUCCUUAGGCACCUACUGUGUUACUACUACCAAUAAUAAUGGCAGUAGAGAAGCUGAUCAAGAGGGAAGCAAGCAGAGGCAUUCAGUUUCAUCAGAAGUCUUCAGCAAGUAAACCCUGGUGAUCCAGUCUGUGGUCAUGAGAGUGGUCAGAAGGGCUACUCAUUGCAUCUGAAGAUUUUUUUUAAAAGGGGUGGUGAUAGAAGGGAAUGGUCUGACAAAGAGGAAUGGAGAAUAGCAGUGGAAGAGAGGGUAAGCGAUGGGAAAUUUUGGGGUGAGGAUAGAAUAAAGGAGAAAUGUAGAACUGGAGAAGAAAUAAAAAGAUGGAAAGUCUUGGGGAACGUGUGGUGUACUGAGAGCUGUUUUGGAUUUGCACAUUAUUACUUUAAGAGUGGCGGGGUUUCCUGAUCCUGCUUGCAGGCUAGGGGGCUCUGUAGCAAAGCAUGCAAUCAGAGUCAGUCUUGGAAAAAUCAGCUUUAAGCAACAUGGGGUUCAGUGGUGCCGCCCUGUCUUCAGGAGCGGCCUGUUUUCUCUCUCUGUGUAUUUGGGUUGUUGUGUGUUAUUGUUUUGCAUUCUAAGAAAUAAAGUAGUGUUACGUUACAACCUUCCA